AGACUCCAGGAGCAAAGCUGAGGGUGAGCACAGACUGAGGUAUACCUUUGUGGCUAGAAUAGUUCUAAGGGUUAAAGUUUAACUAAUGUACUCUGCACUUCUUAAGUGGUAGAAAAGGGGAAUCAGGUACUAGUGGUCUGUUUGAAAAGCUUAAAGCCUCAUCAGAGGUCUUCCUCUCUUGGAUCCCCUCUGUAUGGCAUUGGAGCAUGGGAC
rnacentral:lncRNA from 1 species